UACGUAGGAUGCGAGCGUUGUCCGGAUUUAUUGGGCGUAAAGAGUUCGUAGGUGGUUCGUUAAGUCUGGUGUAAAAGCCUGGGGCUCAACCCUGGGAUGGCACUGGAUACUGGCGGACUGGAGUGUGGUAGAGGCAAGUGGAAUUCCCAGUGUAGCGGUGAAAUGCGUAGAUAUUGGGAAGAACACCGGUGGCGAAAGCGACUUGCUGGGACAUAACUGACACUGAGGAACGAAAGCUAGGGGAGCGAAUGGG
rnacentral:rRNA from 1 species